GACGAACGCUGGCGGCGCGCUUAACACAUGCAAGUCGAGCGAAGCGGCGGACGGGUGAGUAACACGUGAGUAACCUGCCUUAGACAUUGGGAUAGCAUCGGGAAACCGGGCUUAAUAACAAAUGGUCUAAGAUGGACUCGCGUCCCAUUAGCUAGUUGGUGGCUAACGUCCGACCAAAGCGACGAUGGGUAGCCGGCGUGAGAUGGUGAACGGCAACAUUGGAACUGUGAAACGGUCCAAUCUCUACGGGAGGCACCAGUGUGGAAUAGUGCACAAUGGAGUGACCUCUGAUGCAGCGACGCCGCUUGAACGAAGAAGGCUUUCGUGUCGUAAAGUUCUUUUAUAUGGGAAGCGGUACCAUAAGAAAAAGCCCCGGCUAACUACGUGCCAGCAGCCGCGGUAAUAC
rnacentral:rRNA from 1 species